UGGGGAAUAUUGGUCAAUGGGCGGGGAGCCUGAACCAGCCAAGUCGCGUGAGGGAAGAAGGUGCUGAGCAUUGUAAACCUCUUUUGCCGGGGAACAAACGCCGUCACGAGCUGGCGGUUUGAGUGUACCCGGAGAAAAAGCAUCGGCUAACUCCGUGCC
rnacentral:rRNA from 1 species